rnacentral:rRNA from 1 species
CGGGUGAGUAAUGCUUGGGAACUUGCCUUCGGGAGGGGGAUAACAGUUGGAAACGACUGCUAAUACCGCAUAAUGUCUACGGACCAAAGCGGGCUUCUGCUCCGCCCCUGAGAAAGGGCCCAGUGGAAAUAACCUGUUGGGAAGGGAAAGGGUUACCCAGGGCACCAUUUCCAACUGGUUCGAAAAGGAAAAUCACCCCCCUGGGACUGGAACCACGGCCAAACUCCUACCGGGGGGCACCGUGGGGAAUUAUGGACCAUGGGGGGAAACCUGAUGCCACCCUGCCCCCUGGGUGAAAAAAGGCUUUCGGGUGGUAAACAAUUUUCAUUGUGAAGAAAGGGUGGGAAUUA